UACCGACCAGCUAGCCGACCAAGCCAAACCCAUUAAACCAAAUAUUAACUUCCCCCUAACACACGGACAUUACAAGAAUAAACCAUUUUUCCCCCUUAGUAUGGGAGACAGAAAAGGACCUACGAGCCAUAGAAAAAGUACCGCAAGGGAACGCUGAAAAAGAAGUGAAACAAAUCAGUUAAGUAAAAAAAAGCAGAGAUUAAUACU
rnacentral:rRNA from 1 species